rnacentral:tRNA from 1 species
AAAAAGAUAAGCUAAUUAAGCUAAUGGGUUCAUACCCCAUUUAUAGAGGUAUUAAUCCUUUUCUUUUUA